GAGAGAGAGAGAAGAGAGAGAAAGAGAGAGAAAAUCGAUAGAAGAGAGAGUGUCUCUUCAGCAAUGCUCCUCUGACACGGAGCUUUUGCUUUUCUUUUUUUUUCUUUUUCUUUUUCUUUUG
rnacentral:ribozyme from 12 species